UACGGAGGGGGCUAGCGUUGUUCGGAAUUACUGGGCGUAAAGCGCGCGCAGGCGGCUAUCCAAGUCAGUGGUGAAAGCCCGGAGCUCAACUCCGGAACUGCCAUUGAAACUGUUUAGCUUGAGGACGAGAGAGGUGAGUGGAAUUCCCAGUGUAGAGGUGAAAUUCGUAGAUAUUGGGAAGAACACCGGUGGCGAAGGCGGCUCACUGGCUCAUUACUGACGCUCAGGCGCGAUAGCGUGGGGAUCAAACAGG
rnacentral:rRNA from 1 species